UACGGGAGCAAGGCGUGAAGCACACCUGUCCGUCGCGGGAAAUGGAAGCUUCAGAGCUUUUUACCAGACCCACUACACCCACGGAGUUACGAACUACGGUACAAGACAUUCUCCGGUUCCAAUUACAUACUGAUAGUGCAAGGGGUGGUUCAUUUUACACGAUAAAGUGGUGUUUGUGACUGCUUCAAUUCGAGUCACGUCCCGCUUUUUAAAUAGUUUCAACGACUCCAAGUCCCCAGACUUUAAUUCGGUAAACACCUAUCAAAUAGAUUUACGGGUUUUGGGUGAAUCUCGAGGUCUCUCCAGAACAAAAGAACAUGAUACCUAAAUUCCACUAAGAGUUCUCCUUGUUCAGCGGUACCUGGCUACUCUAGCUCUCUGCCGAGGCGCCAACGCACCUCACCGCCGACUCUCCUCUCCGUUGUUGUUGAGCAACAGGCACUGCCGGGCUCGCAAACGCUCUCCCCUACCUCGCCCCCAACGUAACAGUGCCGGUCAACGGCCUCACCUACCUCACCACCGGCGUGCCUGCGCGAGGACCUCCACGGCCAUACGUGGGACUAAAACUCGGACCCUCCAAGGAACGAGACGGGAUAGGAGUUCCCACAAGUAGAUGAAACCAUAGCACGAGACCUCAGUCCUGCUACGUGAUUACGUCCAAACUAAGAAAUGAAAAAGAAAACAAAAUAAACAUACGUGUAGGGACUUAAAACACACAGCACUAAAUUUACAACAGCACACACGGUAACACAGGAUAUAUUAAUAAGAUAACUUCGUGGCGACGUUGGGUCUAACAAAUAGUUUAACUACGUUCUUUGUUUGAUUAUGUAUCUCUCAUAUUUAAAUAACGUAAUUAGACAUAUAGGGACGUGGAUCGUUAUCCAUCUCUACCUUUUUAAAACAUCGAAAGACUAGGGCCAAAAAGGAUAACUUUAAUACCUAAACCUUCGAUUAGUACCUCACAAAGCUAACGGACGAAUGCCUUAGCGUUACUCGUGUUCAGACGUUGGAACUUCCUUUUGGGCAACGUUGACCACUGUAUUAUAAUGCAGCGUUGUUCUUACAUAUCUCGAUGUCUCGAGACACCUAGGAAGAGAAGUGUUUUCGGAACCCCGCACCUACCGCUCUUCGCCUCCGCACACGGAUCUCAUUGCCUGGUACUACCUAACUACUCGACUACAGUGCACUGCAUGAGUGCACCGCCGACCAAUCCGAGGCCGCCGACCUCGGUAGUAGCUGGUACUACGGCGCGGUCCUCGUGUUCCCGAUUCUGCUCCUGUACAACCACGGCUACUUUAUUCCACGACGGCCAACUACCCCCGGAUUGGUACUCAGAUUGACUUUCACUUGCCCUCGCUACACGUCUUUUUUUUAGAAUCGUGUAUCCGACUUAAACAUAUCAUGAAGCUUAAAUAAUCCGUCAUGGGGGAGGUAAACAUAUAGUGAAGGCUUAUGUUCAAGUCCAAUAAUCCGUCAUGAUAACUUAAAUUCCUAACUAUGAACUUCUAAAAUUUUCCAAUGAUUUAAAACAUGGUUCAGAUGACAAUACAUACCCUUCUUGUACGCGAUUUUAUAACUAUUACGUUUACUUUCACUAGCAAACUAAUAAUUUAGUACGGUG
rnacentral:rRNA from 1 species